rnacentral:rRNA from 1 species
AAGCGGGGCAACUCCGCGAGUAAAGUGGCGACCGGGUGAGUAACACGUGACUAACCUGCCCUCGAGCGGGGGAUAACCCCGGGAAACCGGGGCUAAUACCGCAUAACAUCUUCGAUACGAAAGUGUUGAGGAUCAAAGGAGCAAUUCACUUGAGGAGGGGGUCGCGGCCGAUUAGCUAGUUGGCGGGGUAACGGCCCACCAAGGCUGAGAUCGGUAGCCGGCCUGAGAGGGCGCACGGCCACACUGGAACUGAAACACGGUCCAGACUCCUACGGGAGGCAGCAGUGGGGAAUUUUGCGCAAUGGGGGGAACCCCGACGCAGCAACGCCGCGUGGAGGAUGAAGUCCCUUGGGACGUAAACUCCUUUCGACCGGGAAGAUGAUGACGGUACCGGAAGAAGAAGCACCGGCUAACUCUGUGCCAG